rnacentral:rRNA from 1 species
UACGGGGGGGCAAGCGUUGUUCGGAAUUACUGGGCGUAAAGGGCUUGUAGGUGGCCAACUAAGUCAGACGUGAAAUCCCUCGGCUUAACCGGGGAACUGCGUCUGAUACUGGAUGGCUCGAGUUUGGGAGAGGGAUGCGGAAUUCCAGGUGUAGCGGUGAAAUGCGUAGAUAUCUGGAGGAACACCGGUGGCGAAGGCGGCAUCCUGGACCAACACUGACACUGAAAAGCGAAAGCCAGGGGAGCAAACGGG